CUGGGAAAGAGGGGAACAGAGGACAGCAGGAAUGCUGUGUAAAGCUUUAAGUCAGAUUGAAGAGCCCAGUAUUAAAUAGAGCGGUUCCUGGAGACGGGAUGAGAAGUCUGAGGAAUGGAGACUGAAUAGGUGCUUCUGUUGUGCACUCUCCACUUUUGGAAUGUAGACCUGUUUGGAAGAGCGUUUGCAUUUUGCACUGAUAGUUUGACUGACAAUCCUGGAGACUGAAGUCCUCACUCCACAGAACAGCUGUGCAACAGAUGGGAUUUAAACGAAGAGCGCAGUUGCAGCGUAUGGCCACAGCUCUAUGGUGGAGAGGGAGCCCAGACACACCAUGAGGAUGGGAGUUCUGGGAAACAUUGUGCUCCAGGCAAUGGUGAGAUCCACAUGCUCUGCCAUCUUUGGAGAGGAUGUAGCAUCUGCCCCCUGCUGCACCCCGUCAGCUCUGAUGGCCAAGGUGUGUGUGUGCAUUUGGAAGGAGCAGCAGCCCAUGUAGUCAAUAGGAGCAAUAGCACAUUCACCACUGUCUGGCAUUAGGGAGUAAGUGGGAAGCUAUGAAAUCUGCUUUCCUGCUCAACACGGAUCAUUUGACUGUUCUCCCAUCCUCCCAACACACCUCUACAUCAUUUGGCUGCUUUAUCCACUUGUCACAUCCUGCCUGACGCGAAGAGUCAGCUCCUCAGCUGGUGCAAUCAGCAUAGGCUAGCUGCAUUGAAGACAAUUGAGCUAGGUCAAGUUGCACUAGCUGAAGAUCAGACCCCCCAAAGGGAUUGUCUCUGAGACUUGCAGAGGCCGCUUUAGCUGCACGCAGGCCUAGGCUGAGGGCAGCAGAUUUCUGAGGGUGGCAGAUUGGUGGUGGCAUUGGAUGAGGUUUGGCGGGGAAGGGGGCUUCCCAAGGAAGGGGAAGGCUGCCAGUUAAAACUAUAAGGACCAGGAAACUCCCUCCUGGGCUGCCAGGGAAGUUCUCCCACCCCUUCCCCAGUUGCUCCCACCCCUGGUGCGAAUAUGUUUGUGGCCACAGCUUAGGCACUGAGAGGCUCAGGGCUGGUCCUGGCAGCACCACAAGCACUGCUGGGGCUUCGGCCCCAAGCACAGUGCCCCACCCGCUCCAUGUCAUCACCCAGCCUGCACCUGCUGCUCUGUGCCCAGCCCCCACAGCCCUGCUGCCUGGGCAGCCCUUGGCCCCUGCCCUGGAUGCCACAUCACUGCUGCCACUUCCUCUCCACCGUGUCUGGGCUCGGGAUGCACUGCCGCCAUGUGGGCUCCGAGCCUGAGAGCGAGGCGCUCAUUCAGAAUGGUGCGAGGGUUGCUGGGGGCCAGGCUAGGAUAGCAGAGUGUGGGGGGGGGCUGGUAGCGAA